GCUUCGGUGGCCGAGUGGUUAGAGAGUCAUCCUCGGAUGCAGAAGGUCACUGGUUCGAACCCCGCUUGAGUCA